rnacentral:rRNA from 1 species
UACGAAGGGGGCUAGCGUUGUUCGGAUUAACUGGGCGUAAAGGGUGCGUAGGCGGGUUUUUAAGUCAGGGGUGAAAUCCCGAGGCUCAACCUCGGAACUGCCUUUGAUACUGGAAAUCUUGAGUCUGGGAGAGGUGAGUGGAACUGCGAGUGUAGAGGUGAAAUUCGUAGAUAUUCGCAAGAACACCGGUGGUGAAGGCGGUUCACUGGCCCGGAACUGACGCUGAGGCACGAAAGCGUGGGGAGCAAACAGG